GACGAACGCUGGCGGCGUGCUUAACACAUGCAAGUCGAACGGUAAGGCCCUUCGGGGUACACGAGUGGCGAACGGGUGAGUAACACGUGGGUGAUCUGCCCUGCACUUCGGGAUAAGCCUGGGAAACUGGGUCUAAUACCGGAUAGGACUCCGGACUGCAUGGUCUGGGGUGGAAAGCUUUUGCGGUGUGGGAUGGGCCCGCGGCCUAUCAGCUUGUUGGUGGGGUGAUGGCCUACCAAGGCGACGACGGGGAGCCGGCCUGAGAGGGUGACCGGCCACGCUGGGACUGAGAUACGGCCCAGACUCCUACGGGAGGCAGCAGUGGGGAAUAUUGCACAAUGGGCGCAAGCCUGAUGCAGCGACGCCGCGUGAGGGAUGACGGCCUUCGGGUUGUAAACCUCUUUCAGCAUCGACGAAGCGAAAGUGACGGUAGGUGCAGAAGAAGGACCAGCCAACUACGUGCCAGCAGCCGCGGUAA
rnacentral:rRNA from 1 species